rnacentral:misc_RNA from 1 species
GAUGAAGAACGCAGCGAAAUGCGAUACGUAAUGUGAAUUGCAGAAUUCAGUGAAUCAUCGAGUCUUAGAACGCACAUUGCGCCCCCUGGUAUUCCGGGGGGCAUGCCUGUCCGAGCGUCAUUGCUGCCCUCAAGCACGGCUUGUGUGUUGGGCCUCCGUCCUCCUCCCGGGGGACGGGCCCGAAAGGCAGCGGCGGCACCGCGUCCGGUCCUCGAGCGUAUGGGGCUUCGUCACCCGCUCUUGUAGGCCCGGCCGGCGCUUGCCGACACAUCAAUCUUUUUUCCAGGUUGACCUCGGAUCAGGUAGGGAUACCCGCUGAACUUAAGCAUAUCAAUAAGCGGAGGA